AUUGAACGCUGGCGGCAGGCUUAACACAUGCAAGUCGAACGGAAACGAUGGUAGUUUGUUACCAGGCGUCAAGUGGUGGACGGGUGAGUAACGCGUAGGAAUCUGCCCAGUAGUGGGGGACAACCAGGGGAAACCCUGGCUAAUACCGCAUACACUCUACGGAGAAAAGGAGGCCUCUUCAGGACCUUGCGCUAUUAGAUAAGCCUGCGUGGGAUUAGCUAGUUGGUGAGGUAAGAGCUCACCAAGGUGAUGAUCUCUAGCUGGUCUGAGAGGAUGAUCAGCCACACUGGGACUGAGAUAUGGCCCAGACUCCUACGGGAGGCAGCAGUGGGGAAUAUUGGACAAUGGGCGCAAGCCUGAUGCAGCCAUGCCGCGUGUGUGAAGAAGGCUUUCGGGUUGUAAAGCACUUUAAGUUGGGAGGAAAGGUUAAUGUUUAAUACGCUUUAGCUGUGACGUUACCUUCACAAGAAGCACCGGCUAACUCCGUGCCAGCAGCCGCGGUAAUACGGGGGGUGCAAGCGUUAAUCGGAUUUACUGGGCGUAAAGCGCGCGUAGGUGGUUUAGCAAGUUGGAUGUGAAAGCCCCGGGCUCAACCUGGGAAUUGCAUCCAAAACUGUCUAGCUAGAGUACGAUAGAGGGGGGAAGAAUUUCAGGUGUAGCGGUGAAAUGCGUAGAGAUCUGAAGGAAUACCAGUGGCGAAAGCGGCCCCCUUGAUUGAUACUGACACUGAGGUGCGAAAGCGUGGGUAGCAAAUAGGAUUAGAUACCCUGGGCCCUGGUAGUCCAUGCCGUAAACGAUGUCAACAGCCGUUGGAAGACUUGAUCUUUUAGUGGCGCAGCUAACGCAAUAAGUUGACCGCCUGGGGAGUACGGCCGCAAGGUUAAAACUCAAAUGAAUUGACGGGGGCCCGCACAAGCGGUGGAGCAUGUGGUUUAAUUCGAAGCAACGCGAAGAACCUUACCUACUCUUGACAUCCUCAGAACUUAACAGAGAUGCUUUGGUGCCUUCGGGAACUGAGUGACAGGUGCUGCAUGGCUGUCGUCAGCUCGUGUUGUGAAAUGUUGGGUUAAGUCCCGUAACGAGCGCAACCCUUGUCCUUAUUUGCCAGCACGUAAUGGUGGGAACUUUAAGGAGACUGCCGGUGACAAACCGGAGGAAGGUGGGGACGACGUCAAGUCAUCAUGGCCCUUAUGAGUAAGGCUACACACGUGCUACAAUGGCCGGUACAGAGGGCAGCAAGACCGCGAGGUGGAGCAAAUCCCAGAAAGCUGGUCGUAGUCCGGAUUGGAGUCUGCAACUCGACUCCAUGAAGUCGGAAUCGCUAGUAAUCGCGAAUCAGCUAGUCGCGGUGAAUACGUUCCCGGGCCUUGUACACACCGCCCGUCACACCAUGGGAGUGGAUUGCACCAGAAGUAGCUAGCUUAACCUUCGGGAGGGCGCUCAAACCACGGAGUGGUCAAUGACUGGGGUG
rnacentral:rRNA from 1 species